AAUUUGGUGGCCUCUCGAUUUCACCGAUUUAACCUUUUGCUACUUCUAGGCCACAGAGAAAUUGUGUUUCCACUGCAAUGGUGGAGACCUGAAGCUGCAAAAUCACGGAGAAACCCCGCCCAGUUGCCAGGAAGACGGGCAUUCCCGGCACAAAAACUUCAUUGCAAUUUAAGCCAUCUAGGGACCCGAAACUGAUUUCACCAAAGUCCAUUAUUAGAUUGCCCAAAGUCUGGAGGAACUUACCAUAUAAUCUUAGAGUGGUUUGGGGUGGAAGGGAACCUUAAAGACCAUCUAGUUCCAGUCCCCCUGCCAUAGGCAGGGACACCUCCCACUAGAACAAGUUGCUCCAAGCCCCAUCCAGCUUGGCCAUAAACACCUCCAGGGUCAGGUAUCCCAGCUUCCCUGGGCAAUCUGUCCCAGUGCCUCACCACCCUCACAGUAAAGCAUUUUUUACUAGUGUCUAAUCUAAAUCUAUUGUCUUUCAAUCUGAACCCACUUCCCCUUGUCUGUCACUCCAUGCUCUUGUAAAUGGUAUUAUCCCAUCUUUCCUCUAAGUUCCUUUCAGGUCCCAGGCCACAAUUAGGUCACAACAAAGCCUUCUCUUUUCCAGGCUGAACAAUCCCAGUUCUCUCAGCAUUUUUCACAGGACGGGUGCUUCAUCCCUCUGAUUAACCUGGUUUUCCUCAUCUGGACUCAUUCCAACAGAUCAGUGUCCUGUGUUGGCGACCCCCAGAGCUGGAUGCAGCAAUGGAGGUGGAAUCUCACCAGAGCAGAGUAGAGGCACAGAACUUGGAUAUAUCAGAGUGUGGGAGGUAUUGCUCCUGUGCCCCAUCUGAGAUCACUUUAAUUGGUGACUCUCACAAGACUCUCCUUUGCCCUUUAUGACAAAAUUAUCUGGCUCUUGUUUCUCCCUUCGGAUGGAAGAAGGAUCACCACAGACAACCUGCUCUGAUCAUUUGUCUUCCUGAAGGCUUGUGGAGAGCCUGUGCACAACAUCCUGUCACAAUUUACAAGCAUAAAACUCAUGUUGCUCUGUGUGAUGGCUUGAGGAAACCAUCAUGGAAAUCACUGUGUCUGCGCAACGGAAAAAGCUCUUCAGCAGCUGAAAUUGUCCUCAACCAUAUGAAUCAGAAACAAGGAACACAAUUCUCAAAAAACAUACUAAUUGCCUUUAAAAAGUGAGCAGAGUGCUGUUCAAAACAAAAAAAGAACCCAAAACAGACUCUUGGAAGUAUUGAAGGGCCACUCCAGGAAGUUUCAAGAAGGCCAGCACUUUGGAGUGGCAAGACCUUGUGAUCAUCCUGCCUCCCUCCACCCCCGGCCCCAGGCAGACACACAGGAAUGAACUUAGCACACCAGUGCUGCAACACUGACACACCUGCACAGGGCACCAGCCUUCUUACACCACUAUUUUUGUAAAACCAGGACAGGCAGUUUACUGGUCUUUAGGGAAAUUUUGAACUUGGACAAGAUUUUUGUGUCAUAUUAGAAAAGUUAGGACAUUAUUGAGGGCUUGUGUUCAAUGGAUCAGAGAGGCAUUAUAUAGUAAGUAAUGGAUGCAUUCUGUUUCCAGACAAGGUAAGUAUAAUCUACUGGUGCUUUCACUUCUGUUUGGAAGGCAUUUGUAUUUUACUAUUUUCAUAAUUUUCUUUAGCUGUAAUUCUUCUGUCCAUUUUCUUUCAUGAUAUGCUGUUCUUUCAGAAAUGCCCCUCCCUCCCCACUCCCAAGAGAUUAAUCUAUUGCUUGUAACAGAUACAGAAACCUUUAAUGAGAUAGUAGCAGUUCAUACUUAUUACUUCACCAGUUGUCUUGUAGGCGUAAAGUCAAAUAUUGUUAAUAUGUCACCAAACAUUGUGAAAGCUUAAAUACCUUUGACCAGACUUGCAACCAGCCUGCCAGAAAACCUGUCUGGAUGUCAGAACAAUCAGAAGUCACUGUUCUGUCAAGUUUGGUUAAAUUAUUCUGAAUUUUUUGCUAUAAAAAUAAAGUUAUAUCUUACCUCAGUCGGACUUGUCAGUAUUCUCUGCUGCUUUUGGCCUGAACAGUUGUCCAGUGCCCCUAGUGAGAAAUUAAUCAGUUAAAGUUAAAAGGAAAUGGGUAAUAGCACACUGAUCUUUUCUGUUUUCUUGAAAUAAAGAUAUACUGCUUAGCACAGUUCCCUGGGGAGAUGAGGCUGCCUCUGCCUUUGUCUCCAUGCAUGCAAAUGUAACUGUACCUCUCCCUCCACCCCAGUAUUUUUGAAUCUUUGGCCAGUCUCAGUCAAAUUCAACUGAGAAACUCUAACAAAUUUGAUUGAAUUAGUUGAUCUUUUAAAGAAGAAAUUUCUGAAUUAGAGUUACUGCUGUGGGGAAGAUUGCUUAUCCCUUGGUGCAAAACUGAGAAUCCACACAGGAGAAAAGCAUUUUGCAAGAACAGGAAAAGCUAAAGCAGAGGUCACAUUUUAUCAGAUGUGAGCGAACAGAAUUACAAGUUAUAACCUCAUAGGAAACCUGGCUUCGUUAGUUCAACUGCACUCACAAUCAUCUGUUUAUUUAUUUAUUGUGUUGAUAGGAUGCAGUGGUGCAAUUUCAGCUAAGUACAAAUGGUCACUGAUGGCAUGGCUUUUCAAACAGCAAAAGAAAAAAUGUACGUACUGUUCCUGCUUCUUUGUGUCUCCAGAAAUCUCAAGGACAUCAUCAAAAUAUAUUUAUACAAGCUCUGUUAAUUUUUGUAGGCCAAGGUAGAUGAUUCAAUUUCCUUGAUGUAAGAGAUGAGAGUUGGCAGCCCAAAAUAGUUUGCAUAUGUUGUGUUGAUAACAAUACGAAAAAAUAAGCAAGGUUACAUCCGAUGUAAUUUCGCGGCACUGCCUGA